rnacentral:rRNA from 1 species
UCGUAUAGUGAUAAGUCUCGUUAAUUCAGUAAAACGAGCGCGAUCUUAGUUGCAUAGAGGGGAUUUUUUCAUAAAUUAUGGAAAAAUUCCUUCCAAAGUUUUCAAUUAGGAAGACUUGGGAAUUGCAAGACCGUCGGUGUAAGGAAUUUACAUCCUGUAACCGAAGGAAGGGUAAGGCGAGAAUA